rnacentral:lncRNA from 1 species
AGAAAAGUACUUGCAAAUAACAACCUGAAAUCAUGUUUCAUGCAUCACCAUUUGGAAAUUAAACUCUACAAUGAUUAAACAAAGAAACGAAGAGAACUUUAAAAAUGCAAAAUGCAAGAAUUCCAAACAUAAGUUUGAAAAGAAACUCUGACUAAUUGAUGAUGUUGCACAAUCUACCUUUCAAAAUACAUUCAAUCUCCAAACCAAGCAUGGUAUACUUUUUUUUAAUUGAUGUUUAUAAAUCAGGCUUUGAAAUGUAUUUAAAAGUAUACAGUGCUUAUCAAUACAAAAUCUUUAAAUCUGUUAUUAUUUUAAAAUGAAUUUUAACAUAUAAUAUUUAGUAAUAUACCAAUCUAAAAUAAAAUAUAGAUCACGUAAAAUUCUUGCUUUUAAUAGUAAUAUGCAUCAGUAAAACAUAAAAUGGGUCCUCUCAAGACAGACCGGUGAGCAGACACAGAAUACUGUGAGAUCAUUCGCUAGGAGACAGUGCAGUUGCUUGGAUAACAAGUGGAUGACACAUGGAACUCGGGAGCACUAGUUAUGGAGUCGGUGUCAGUCCAGAUAGAAUGUCAACCUGCUCCUGCCGUGUGAAGGCUGGGUGCCAGCUCCUGCCCUCCACAGAGCUAUAAUAUAUUAAUAAUAGGAAUGGCAACAAAAUGUGUGUUCAUCAUCUCAGGGCACACAAGACAAUAGGUCUCAGUGCAGAUCUCGCAGCAUCUCUUCUUCGGUCUUCCUUGGGGAGCUUCUCAAAGCACAGCCCUAUCCCUCUCAUCAACCACCACGAAGGAUUCGCCGACUGGGCUGUUUUCUCUGCAACUUCCACAACGAAGAGGGGAGCCCCUUACCUUGCCCUGGAAUAUUCUUUCUGAGGAUUUCUGAGAGGUAAAGCAGCCACUGAUGGCAGCGUCCAGAGGAUAACAGCACCGUCAAAGAGGAAGCAGGGCGACAGCUUGCUUGGCAGACCCAGCCUGGCUUGAUGCUGCGCAUGCGCUGGACAAACAGCAGGCACAGGGCACAAGGGUCGAGAGUAAACUCCGCCCUCACCUGCGGCUGUUGUGACCACCUGCCACCUCCUGGCCUCCCAGACCUCGUCUACAUCCGAUGCCUCAUUAUAGAUACAGAAUGGUUUUUUUAGAAAAUUGGAAAGUUGAUCAGACUUUUAAAAUAUCACAAAGGAGUCUUAAUGUGGCGUUUAAGAUAAUUCCUUUCAAUAUUUAUUUUCUAAAUAUCCCAGCCACAGACCUGAAGAGUUUAUAUCCCAGUAGGAAAGGCUGGGUAUAGGGUGCAUAGAAUUUCCCCAUACAUCUAUUUCUUUUGCAAUUUCUUGUGAAUCUAUCAUUGUUUCAAAAUAAACUGAAAAAAAUGACAUGGGUCUGAAUCAAACCAAGAGAAUCUAAAAACUGUUUCUAUUUUUAGUCAUCUAAGGACGGGAAAAGGGAAAAAGAGGUCUACGGUCCUGUAGCUCCUUCCAGGCUUUAGAAGCAUAAUGGAAUUGGACCAUUUUUGCCCUGUAGAAAUGUACUUAUCAUGAAAAAAAAGGAAAGUCUUAAGUCCUUGAUACUUCAGAAGAACAUCCAUAGACUCCCCCAUUUGUACACUAGGUCAACCAACAUUUAACAUCACUUCUGUGGUUCAAAUAUGGUGCUCUUGUUAUAACAGCAGACUGAUAUUGUCAAGACAUCACAGGACAAAUGAGCACUGGCCCAGCUUACUAUGCUCAUUUUAACAAGUACAGUCAGCAAGGAUCAGGAAAACCAAUCAUGUAUAUGAUUUAAAUGAUCUAAAUAAAAAAUAGUGAAAAAUA